rnacentral:rRNA from 1 species
AUUCCAGCUCCAAUAGCGUAUAUUAAAGUUGUUGCAGUUAAAAAGCUCGUAGUUGGAUUUCUGGGAGGGUGCCGCCGUCCGGCGUGUCCGUGUGCAGUGGCGCCCUUCCAUCCUUCUGUUAGCGUCUCUUGGCAUUCAUUUGCUGGUGGCGGGCUCAGAUAUUUUACCUUGAGAAAAUUAGAGUGUUUCAGGCAGGCUAGGCCGGAAUACAUUAGCAUGGAAUAAUGGAAUAGGACUACGGUCUCUUUGUUGGUUUGAGGGACUGCAGUAAUGAUUAAUAGGGACAGUCGGGGGCAUUUGUAUUCAAACGACGGAGGUGAAAUUCUUGGACCGUUUGAAGACAAACUACUGCGAAAGCAUUUGCCAAGAAUGUUUUCAUUA